rnacentral:ncRNA from 7 species
UGACCUCGGAUCAGGUAGGAAUACCC